rnacentral:tRNA from 1 species
GCCCGCUUGGCUCAGUGGUAGAGCGUGUCACUAGUAAUGACAAGGUCAUCAGUUCAAUUCUGGCAGUAAGCA